UGUGGAAGCAGAUGUGACAGUCAGUUCAGUUCAGUUCAGUUCAGUUCAGUGUAUCAGCUGCAGAGAAACAAUGGUGCAGUUACACUUCACGAAUGAUACAUUACCCUAUAAUGUCAGCACUGACUUUCUGAUUCUGAAUAAAAUCAGUGAACAGUCAGAGCGGUUCUUGCGUCAGCUUACGGAGUGCAGAACCACUGAGGGCUCUGAUGAAGAGUGUCCACCUCCUACCUCAUGUAACUGUUGGUACAAGUGAACUGUAAAAGACUGAAAACAUCUUUCUACAGGGUGCAGACCACAGACAUCACUGUGUCGUGUAGAUUGGGCUGUGGUGCACAGGGGGAUUUCCUGCAGUAUUUCACCCCAGGCGCUGCAGCCCUAAUCUGGGCAGGACAGACGGCCUGCGCAGGCUGCGUUGAAGGAAGAAGGGCCUCAACUUGUAUGCCUUGAGAAAAUGUGAUCUGCAUCCUGAAUAUUAACACGGGCAGUAAAGAUAUGCAGCUACCACUCACCUCAGUUCCAGCCUCUCUCAUCGCCCUGGCAACCAAGCCAUCCCAUUGCUUCCCCUCCACUAGCACCGGGCUGUCCCAAGGCUGACCCCUCCCCCCUCCCCACAUCCUCGUGCAGUAGUCGGGGGGUAGGGCACAAAAAUACUGCACAGUUUCUGGAGCAUUUUCUUUUGUUACCAUCUCUUCUGAGAGAAUAAUUUUCCUCAGAAUGAGAAUUCAUUCACUCAAUGUCAAUGUGUAUACUGUUGAAAACUAAGAAAUUAGGUAAAACCACAAACAUUUAGCCAUUAGAAGAUUUUGCUCCUUCACAUGGAGCUACUAUUCUGCAAAAAAAAAAAAAAAAAAAUCACCAAUAAUUUGUGCCAAGAGAUGCAAGGUGAAUCAUAUAUAUAUCUUUCUAUAUAUAUCUAUAUAUAUAUUUUGUAUUAUUAUUUUUUUCCCCCCUUUGAUUUUGUGGCAAAUUAUGACCCAGAAAUUAAGAAGCUAACAAAGAAGAAUAAAGUUAUGAGAGCAA